UACGUAGGCAGCAAGCGUUGUUCGGAGUUACUGGGCGUAAAGAGUGCGUAGGUGGUGCCCUAAGUCUGUUGUGAAAUCUCCCGGCUUAACUGGGAGGGUGCGGUGGGAAACUGGGGUGCUUGAGUGUGGGAGAGGUAAGCGGAAUUCCUGGUGUAGCGGUGAAAUGCGUAGAUAUCAGGAGGAACACCGGUGGUGUAGACGGCUUACUGGACCACGACUGACACUGAGGCACGAAAGCGUGGGUAGCAAACAGG
rnacentral:rRNA from 1 species